rnacentral:misc_RNA from 1 species
AAGUCGUAACAAGGUCUCCGUAGGUGAACCUGCGGAGGGAUCAUUAACACGUAUCCACGUAUCAAACCAACCGCGCACUCGGGACUUUGUCCCAAUCGACUUGGAGAAGAACUGCUGUCAAUGAGUACCGUGUAGUGGGUCCUUUUCGAAGGACGGUGCUCUUUGUCUGGAGGGAAAAGCUCAAGGCACAGUAUUCUCUAAGUAUAAAAAUUUUUUCUACCUCUACGGGAAGCCAACCUAUUUCACCCCCCAUAUAACCAUUGCCUGAUGACGCUCGUGAGGAGAAAUCCAACAUCGAGUCUUCGAUAUUCGAACUAAAGCACAACUCUUAGCAACGGAUAUCUUGGUUCUC